AACGAACGCUGGCGGCGUGCUUAACACAUGCAAGUCGAACGCGAAAGGGACUUCGGUUCUUAGUAGAGUGGCGCACGGGUGAGUAACGCGUAGAUAACCUGUCUUCAUAUCCGGAAUAACACGCCGAAAGGAGUACUAAUACCGGAUAUUCUUGCAUUUCACAGGUAAGGCAAGGAAAGGUGGCCUCUGAUUCAAGCUACUGUAUGAAGAGGGGUCUGCGUACCAUUAGCUAGUAGGUGGGGUAAUGGCCUACCUAGGCGACGAUGGUUAGCGGGUCUGAGAGGAUGAUCCGCCACACUGGCACUGGAAUACGGGCCAGACUCCUACGGGAGGCAGCAGUGAGGAAUAUUGCGCAAUGGGGGCAACCCUGACGCAGCGACGCCGCGUGAGUGAGGAAGGUCUUCGGAUCGUAAAGCUCUGUCAAGAGGGAAGAAGUGCAAAGCAGCAAAUAACUGUUUUGUUUGACGGUACCUCUAAAGGAAGCACCGGCUAA
rnacentral:rRNA from 1 species